rfam:Aedes albopictus isolate Foshan contig121863, whole genome shotgun sequence.
UGUUCUGUGGCUUAGUUGGUUGAAGCGCCGGUCUAGCGAAUUCGGAGUCGUGGGUUCGAAUCCCACUAGAACGC